AAUAUUAAAUAAAAACGAAUCAAAGUUUUAAGUAAUUAAGUUUAUAAAAGGCCCGAUUUAACGGGACUUAAAGUAAAACGGGUUACGACUUCCCGAACCUACUAAGCUAACUAGGAAUAAUUCUAACCUAGUUAGAUAGUGACUUAUGAGUGGGUUAAAACACUUAAAUUAUGAACUAAGGAAAAUGAAGGGGCCAAAGAUGUUAAAAUCGAAACUUAUGUUGCUAAUUUAAUUAAAACAAAAACCAAACACCCCAUUUGGGGAUGUCUGGUCGUACAAAGAAGCAGGAGGCGAUGGGUUUCUUCAAACCCUAAAAUCCUUACUAAAACUCUCAAAUUGGAGGUGCAAAUCUGGUCCAAAACGAAAAUCGAGCAUAGAUUACUGAUCCCCAUUGCAAGGGGGUUGUAAGUUUGAAUCUUGACAAGCUAGAUGGAGGCUUGGAAUGAAGCGGGUCAAACAGAGCAAGUACGAAAAGGAAAGCGUAAUUUGGAUGCGAGUCUUAGGUACUCAAGGAUUAUGGGUGACGAUCAAGCAACUUUUGAAGGACCGAACACAUACUCUUGAAGCUUCCGCAUAAAUCAACUCGGUUUAAACAAUGUGUAUGAUGUAAACUGUUUGCUAAACAACUUUUGAAAUGUUUAAACGACGUACUCAAUUAUGUUAUGUUGUAUUAUUUAAAAAUUGUAAAGUUUAAACAAACCCGUAUUUUUACAAAGUAUAUGUAGUCAUAAUUACAUGUUGUUUGUCGUAUACUUUACAAAAACCAUUAAAUAAUGACAAGGG